GUAGUCUCGCACAGAUGCAUAUCAAUAAGCGGAGGAAAAGAAACUAACAAGGAUUCCCUUAGUAACGGCGAGUGAAGCGGGAAGAGCUCAAAUUUGAAAUCUUCAAGGUUUUACCUUGACGAAUUGUAGUUCAAAGAAGUGUUUUCUGUUGAAGUUUUGGUAAAAGUUCUUUGGAAUAGGACAUCAUAGAGGGUGAGAAUCCCGUAUUUGACCAUUAUUUUCAGCUGUGUGAUACACCUUCAAAGAGUCGGAUUGUUUGGGAAUGCAGUCCAAAAUGGGUGGUAAAUUUCAUCUAAAGCUAAAUAUUGGCGAGAGACCGAUAGCGAACAAGUACCGUGAGGGAAAGAUGAAAAGAACUUUGAAAAGAGAGUUAAACAGUACGUGAAAUUGUCAAAAGGGAAGCGUUUGACACCAGUGUUGUUUUUCUGAAAAUCAAUUAAAGAACUGUUUAUGCUAAGUUGUUUAGACUUUAUCAGCUAUCUGUUUAGUUUUGAGCUUUUCUUUAAUGCACUUUUCAGUUAACAAGUCAACAUCAAUUUCUUUUGCUGUAAAAAAGCUUGAGGAAGGUGGCUUGAGAUUCGUCUUAAGUGUUUAUAGCCUCUUGCCUAUGCAGUCGGAGAGAUUGAGGUCUGCAGCGUAGAUCCUUCGGGGCUAAAUGCAUUUGUGCUAAGUUAUAGCAUUUUAUAGACAACUUGUUGACUAUGAUUUGUCUUGUAGCUUACUCGCUUAUGUUAUUUUACCUACGCUUAGGAUGUUGAGCGCAUGUCUCUCUCU
rnacentral:rRNA from 1 species